GACCGUGUAGAUCAGUGGAUAGAUCGUCUGCCUCCGGAGCAGAAGGUCGCAGGUUCGAACCCUGCCUCGGUCG